rnacentral:rRNA from 1 species
CGAUCAGUAGCCGACCUUAGAGGGUGAUCGGCCACAUUGGAACUGAGACACGGUCCAAACUCCUACGGGAGGCAGCAGUGGGGAAUAUUGCACAAUGGGCGAAAGCCUGAUGCAGCAACGCCGCGUGAGUGAUUAAGGCCUUCGGGUCGUAAAACUCUGUCCUCAAGGAAGAUAAUGACGGUACUUGAGGAGGAAGCCCCGGCUAACUACGUGCCAGCAGCCGCGGUUAUACUUAGGGUGUAGCUCCGGAUUUACU